AUGUUCCGCUCUUCUUUUAAUUUUGUUCCGGCAGAAAAUUCGGUUUUAUUUCUCUCUGUCUGUCUCUAUUUGAUUGGGUUUAGCAGAUAGAAAUGCAAGAGCAGGCGAUGAGCUCCCUCGCUUCGAGCUCUCUACCUUCCAGCAACGAAAGGUCUUCGAGCUCUGCAUUCCAUCUUGAAGUUAAAGAAGGUAGGUGAUGAAGCUUUAAAACUUGAACAAGUUUUCUGCAAUUUUAGAUGGCCAAACUGCAAAAUAAUUCCAUCUCCUAGAUCAACUGCAUACUCUAUAAAUGGUCCCAAUCAAGUGAGUUAGUUUAUAAUUUAUGUAACUGCUUGUUAAUAUGCAUGCAUUGGGUGGAUGGAUGGACGUGAGAGGGCGAUUUCAAGUCAAUAAGGUUUUUCACUUGCGAAAGUCAAAGAGAACAUCUAUCGUACGCAGCUUUAUCCUUACUUUACAAAGAUAUUGCUUUCAUGACUCAAACCCGUGACAUUUUAAUCACAAAAGAACAACAUUUCCGUUGCGGCAAGACUCGUCCUUUGUUGCUCAAAAUUAUGUGAGAGGAAGAUAGUUAGAUAAAACAAGUUGCUCUGUUACUCAAUUUUUUGUGGCACAUUGUGAUUAAUGGAUUGUGUAUGUUUCAAACUUAGAUAUUCAAUUGUUCAUAAACGGGCUCAAAUUUU
rnacentral:sRNA from 1 species